rnacentral:rRNA from 1 species
UACGGGGGGGGCAAGCGUUGUUCGGAAUUACUGGGCGUAAAGGGCUCGUAGGCGGCCAACUAAGUCAGACGUGAAAUCCCCAGGCUCAACCUGGGAACUGCGUCUGAUACUGGAUGGCUUGAAUUCGGGAGAGGGAUGCAGAAUUCCAGGUGUAGCGGUGAAAUGCGUAGAUAUCUGGAGGAAUACCGGUGGCGAAGGCGGCAUCCUGGACCGACAUUGACGCCGAUGAGCGAAAGCUAGGGGAGCAAACGGG